UCGCCGGGAGUCGUCCUGCCACGUGACGACCGGGCAACGUGACAACCUGUUAGUGACGACAACCUGCUCCACGACGUCUUACCCCAAGACGUCGUUCAACGCGACGACGACCUGGCGCGCAAUCACGACGCCCAGCAACAUAUCGUCGUGUCACGCCACACCUUGCCACGCAUUGUAGUAUCACAGAACGACCAGCCUCCGCGAGCUAAGAGUCCCGGGAAUGAGAAGUCGCACACGAGACCUCGUCCGCAUAUUAUCAUCCAGGGAGACAGCCAGCCGGGGAGCGGCUCCAAGGAUAAAGAAAAAGUCCGCGACGACCGCCGGAAGGACCAGCCAGACGAUGACCGCCGGCGCAGCGGGCCUUCCCCCGACGACGACCCGGCGCCCGACGGUCAGCUACGUAGGCGAGAUACUAUCCCGAGCAUCGUUGUAACAAGUGACGAAGAAGAUCUCCCGCCUCGCCACAAAGAGCGACGAUCGCACGAAAUCUUGUCGAACGUCCCUGUGAAGCGUGAACGCCGGCACACGUACACCGACCUGCCACGUAACGUGGACGCCUUACCACCUAUCGGGGCGGUCCGUCGCAGGCACUCCCUAGAUUAUGACGAUCGCAUGAGCUACAGCUACGGUAGCCGAUACAGCGACGUUCUACGUCACGAUGACGUUGUGUAUCGUGAGGUUCCUCGCUAUCGAGACGUAGUAUUACGUGACGAUUUGGCAAGGCGUCGCGACAGUGUGUUGUAUGACGAUAUAGUAGGACGUCGUGACGUCACAUCAUACAACAGCCUGCCCAACCGUCGUGAUGUCGUACUAUACGAUUUGCCUCGCCGCCGAAGCGACAGUUCUUACGACUUACCACGACGUCGUGGCUUCGUGCUGCAAGACCUGCCAGAUAAACGGGACAUAUUGAUAUACGACGACUCAUUCCGCCGAUCGAGUGGUGUUUUGUAUGACGAUCUAGCAGGCCGUCGGAACGGAGUCCUGCGCGACAAGCUCUCCCGCAGACCCGACGCGCGGCCGCAGGACAAAGGGCAGCGCUACUCCGACGCCAAUAGAAAGAGCGACGCCCCUCCGAGCGUCCACGUUCCCCGCGACGUUCUGCUCCGGAACGCCAUCCCAAGGGACAUCCUCCUGAGGAACGUCUUGCCCAGUGACUCGGUGCCCAAGAAUGGGUCACGCGAUAUCCUGCUGCGUGACAUUGUGCCAAGAGACAUAAUCCUGAGAGACGUGUUGCCCCGUGACAUCCUUUUGCCCAAGGCCGAGGGCCAAGAGGACCAGUCGCGGACAAUGAAAGCCCGUGGCGCUCUGAGGGAACCAUCACCCCCAAGAAAGACUUCGACGUGGAAUUCGCCGCCAAAAGGUUCCAGAAAGCCUUCAAAGGGAUCGGAUCGGACGAGAAGAUGAUCAUCAAGAUGCUCGUGCAGCACGACUCCCUCCAGCGCCAGGAGAUCGAGGAGAAGUAUAAGGAGAUGUACGGCAAGGACCUGAUCGACGACCUGAAGGACGAGCUCGGGGGCCACUUCGAGGACGCCGCCGUCGCCCUGAUGACCGCCCCGAGUGACCUCUUGUGCGGCGCCCUACACGACGCUCUGAAG
rnacentral:misc_RNA from 1 species